UACGAAAGGUGCAAGCGUUACUCGGAAUCACUGGGCGUAAAGCGCACGUAGGCGGACUUACAGGUCAAUUGGGAAAUACCUGGGCUCAACCCAGGAACUGCAGUUGAAACCGUUUGUCUUGAAUACCUGAGAGGGUGGGGGAAUACCUGGUGGAGAAGUGAAAUUCGUAGAGAUCAGGUGGAACACCGGAGGCGAAGGCGCCUGCCUGGCAGUGUAUUGACGCUGAGGUGCGAAAGUGCGGGGAGCAAACAGG
rnacentral:rRNA from 1 species